AUGGUUAAGUUAGAAAGGGCGCACGGUGAAUGCCUUGGCACUAGGAGCCGAUGAAGGACGGGACUAACACCGAUAUGCUUCGGGGAGCUGUAAGUGAGCUUUGAUCCGGAGAUUUCCGAAUGGGGAAACCCACUGUUCGUAAUGGAACAGUAUCUUUAUCUGAAUACAUAGGAUAUUGAAGGCAGACCCGGGGAACUGAAACAUCUAAGUACCCGGAGGAAGAGAAAGCAAAUGCGAUUUCCUGAGUAGCGGCGAGCGAAACGGAAUUAGCCCAAACCAAGAGGCUUGCCUCUUGGGGUUGUAGGACACUCUAUACGGAGUUACAAAGGAACGAAGUAAAUGAAGCGACCUGGAAAGGUCCGUCGAAGAAGGUAACAACCCUGUAGUUGAAACUUCGUUCCCUCUUGAGUGGAUCCUGAGUACGGCGGAACACGUGAAAUUCCGUCGGAAGCUGGGAGGACCAUCUCCCAAGGCUAAAUACUACCUAGUGACCGAUAGUGAACCAGUACCGUGAGGGAAAGGUGAAAAGCACCCCGGAAGGGGAGUGAAAGAGAUCCUGAAACCGUGUGCCUACAAGUAGUCAGAGCCCGUUAACGGGUGAUGGCGUGCCUUUGUAGAAUGAACCGGCGAGUUACGAUCCCAUGCAAGGUUAAGCUGAUAAGGCGGAGCCGUAGCGAAAGCGAGUCUGAAUAGGGCGUUUAGUAUGUGGUUGUAGACCCGAAACCAGGUGAUCUACCCAUGUCCAGGGUGAAGUUCAGGUAACACUGAAUGGAGGCCCGAACCCACGCACGUUGAAAAGUGCGGGGAUGAGGUGUGGGUAGCGGAGAAAUUGCAAGCGAACCUGGAGAUAGCGGGUUCUCUCCGAAAUAGCUUUAGGGCUAGCCUCAAGUUGUCAGAGUCUUCGAGGUAGAACACUGAUUCGACUAGGGGCGCCCAACGGGUUACCGAAUUCAGUCAAACUCCGAAUGCCAAAGACUUAUCCAUGGGAGUCAGACUGCGAGUGAUAAGAUCCGUAGUCAAAAGGGAAACAGCCCAGACCACCAGCUAAGGUCCCCAAGUAUACGUUAAGUGGAAAAGGAUGUGGAGUUGCUUAGACAACCAGGAUGUUGGCUUAGAAGCAGCCACCAUUUAAAGAGUGCGUAAUAGCUCACUGGUCGAGUGACUCUGCGCCGAAAAUGUACCGGGGCUAAACGUAUCACCGAAGCUGUGGAUUGACAUCUUUGAUGUCAGUGGUAGGAGAGCGUUCUAAGUGCUGUGAAGUCAGACCGUAAGGACUGGUGGAGCGCUUAGAAGUGAGAAUGCCGGUAUGAGUAGCGAAAGACAAGUGAGAAUCUUGUCCACCGAAUGCCUAAGGUUUCCUGAGGAAGGCUCGUCCGCUCAGGGUUAGUCGGGACCUAAGCCGAGGCUGAAAAGCGUAGGCGAUGGCCAACAGGUUGAUAUUCCUGUACCACCUCCCCGCCGUUUGAGUAAUGGGGGGACGCAGUAGGAUAGGGUAAGCGCGCUGCUGGAUAUGCGCGUUCAAGCAGUUAGGCUGAUGAGUAGGCAAAUCCGCUCAUCAUAAAGGCUGAGCUGUGAUGACGAGGGAAUUAUAGUACCGAAGUUCCUGAUUCCACACUGCCAAGAAAAGCCUCUAGCGAGGCGGGAGGUGCCCGUACCGCAAACCGACACAGGUAGGCGAGGAGAGAAUCCUAAGGUGAUCGAGAGAACUCUCGUUAAGGAACUCGGCAAAAUGACCCCGUAACUUCGGGAGAAGGGGUGCUCUGGUAGGGUGUAUAGCCCGAGAGAGCCGCAGUGAAUAGGCCCAGGCGACUGUUUAGCAAAAACACAGGUCUCUGCGAAGCCGCAAGGCGAAGUAUAGGGGCUGACGCCUGCCCGGUGCUGGAAGGUUAAGAGGAGGGGUUAUCCUUUGGGAGAAGCUCUGAAUCGAAGCCCCAGUAAACGGCGGCCGUAACUAUAACGGUCCUAAGGUAGCGAAAUUCCUUGUCGGGUAAGUUCCGACCCGCACGAAAGGCGUAACGAUCUGGGCACUGUCUCAACGAGAGACUCGGUGAAAUUAUAGUACCUGUGAAGAUGCAGGUUACCCGCGACAGGACGGAAAGACCCCGUGGAGCUUUACUGUAGCCUGAUAUUGAAUUUUGGUACAGCUUGUACAGGAUAGGUAGGAGCCUGAGAAGCCGGAGCGCUAGCUUCGGUGGAGGCGUCGGUGGGAUACUACCCUGGCUGUAUUGAAAUUCUAACCCGCGGCCCUGAUCGGGCCGGGAGACAGUGUCAGGUGGGCAGUUUGACUGGGGCGGUCGCCUCCUAAAAUGUAACGGAGGCGCCCAAAGGUUCCCCUCAGAAUGGUUGGAAAUCAUUCGUAGAGUGUAAAGGCACAAGGGAGCUUGACUGCGAGACCUACAAGUCGAGCAGGGACGAAAGUCGGGCUUAGUGAUCCGGUGGUUCCGCAUGGAAGGGCCAUCGCUCAACGGAUAAAAGCUACCCCGGGGAUAACAGGCUUAUCUCCCCCAAGAGUCCACAUCGACGGGGAGGUUUGGCACCUCGAUGUCGGCUCAUCGCAUCCUGGGGCUGUAGUCGGUCCCAAGGGUUGGGCUGUUCGCCCAUUAAAGCGGUACGCGAGCUGGGUUCAGAACGUCGUGAGACAGUUCGGUCCCUAUCCGUCGUGGGCGUAGGAAAUUUGAGAGGAGCUGUCCUUAGUACGAGAGGACCGGGAUGGACACACCGCUGGUGUACCAGUUGUCUUGCCAAAGGCAUCGCUGGGUAGCUAUGUGUGGACGGGAUAAGUGCUGAAAGCAUCUAAGCAUGAAGCCCCCCUCAAGAUGAGAUUUCCCAUAGCGCAAGCUAGUAAGAUCCCUGAAAGAUGAUCAGGUUGAUAGGUCAGAGGUGGAAGCGUGGCGACAUGUGUAGCUGACUGAUACUAAUCGAUCGAGGACUUAACCAAACUUUAAAAGUGU
rnacentral:rRNA from 1 species